GAUGAAGAACGCAGCGAAAUGCGAUAACUAAUGUGAAUUGCAGAAUUCAGUGAAUCAUCGAAUCUUUGAACGCACAUUGCGCCCCCUGGUAUUCCGGGGGGCAUGCCUGUUCGAGCGUCAUUACAACCCUCAAGCUCUGCUUGGUAUUGGGCCCCGCCAGUUCUGGCGGGCCCUAAAGUCAGUGGCGGUGCCUUCCGGCUCCGAGCGUAGUAAUUCUUCUCGCUCUGGAGACCCGGUUGUGUGCUUGCCAACAACCCCGAAUUUUUUAAGGUUGACCUCGGAUCAGGUAGGGAUACCCGCUGAACUUAAGCAUAUCAAUAAGCGGAGGA
rnacentral:misc_RNA from 1 species